GUAUUGUAUGUUAAGCAAGAGAGUUAGCACUUCCCUUAGAAUGGAAGAGUUUCUAUGACUUAUAAAACACAUGUUUAAGAAAUUGCUAUCUACUUCGGGUCAUUUAUCCAUGAUUUUUA
rnacentral:ncRNA from 1 species